UGUAGCUUAGUGGUAAAGUGCUUGCUUUGCAUGUAUGAGGCACUGGGUUCGAUCCUCAGCA
rnacentral:tRNA from 1 species